AAAAAUAGAAAGCCGAAUCCAGCUCAGGAGCGGGAGAACCAAUUUUUUGGGGUGAAUCUAAUUUAUUUUGGUAGAAUUUACUGAAAUUUUAGAUGGAUAGUCUUUCCUUCUCUGUCCUAACCCGUCAGCUAACCUCGUAGGCGAUUUUGAGAGGAGUC
rfam:Megamonas funiformis YIT 11815 genomic scaffold supercont1.1, whole genome shotgun sequence.